CAAAUGUUUAAAAAAAACAAAAAAAACAAACAAAAAAUAAUAAUAAUAAAUCGGUCUUCUCAAAUGUAUUCCAAACAUCAACACAAAAAACAUAAAUCAUUAGACAAGAGUUGUACAACUUCAAGACUAUAACCAUCAAGAACUGUGACAAAACAAGCAAUGCAAAUGUAUAUUUGUUUUUAUAAGCAACAGCCAAGCCCUGUGACAACAUUGAUUCACUUAUGACAAAAUGCAAAAAAACAGCACUCAAAACACUUAAUCUCAGAAAUCAGACAUUGUGACUCGCUUUUGUUUGGCAUGUCCCUCCCUGACUGUGUCUUAAUAGUGUUAACUAGCUUCCUUCCCUUGUGUCCUUUCCUCUAUGGCCACUGAUCUGGCAGGGCAUGAUAGGUGACAGCUACACGGAGGUAAACCUCUACACGGAGGUAAACCUCUACACGGAGGUAAACCUCUACACGGAGGUAAACCUCUACACGGAGGUAAACCUCUACACGGAGGUAAACCUCCACACGGAGGUAAACCUCCACACGGAGGUAAACCUCCACACGGAGACGGAGGUAAACCUCCACACGGAGGUAAACCUCCACACGGAGACGGAGGUACACCUCCACACGGAGGUACACCUCCACAUGGAGGUCACACGGAGGUACACCUCCACACAAGAGGUACACCUCCACACAAGAGGUACACCUCCACACAAGAGGUACACCUCCACACAGAGGUACACCUCCACACAGAGGUACACCACACAGAGGUACACCUCCACACAGAGGUACACCUCCAUAAUUGACUAG
rnacentral:lncRNA from 1 species